AUUGAACGCUGGCGGCAGGCCUAACACAUGCAAGUCGAACGAGUGGCGGACGGGUGAGUAAUGUCUGGGAAACUGCCCGAUGGCGGGGGAUAACUACUGGAAACGGUAGCUAAUACCGCAUACCAUCGGAUGUGCCCAGAUGGGAUUAGCUAGUAGGUGGGGUAACGGCUCACCUAGGCGACGAUCCCUAGCUGGUCUGAGAGGCUGACCAGUCACACUGGAACUGAGACACGGGCCAGGCUCAUACGGGAGGCAGGAGUGGGGAAUAGUGCACAAUGGGCGCAAGCCUGAAGCAGCCAGGCCGGGUGUAUGAAGAAGGCCUUCGGGUUGUAAAGUACUUUCAGCGAGGAGGCGUUACUCGCAGAAGAAGCACCGGCUAACUCCGUGCCAGCAGCCGCGGUAAUA
rnacentral:rRNA from 1 species